UACAGGGGGUGCAAACGUUGCUCGGAAUCAUUGGGCGUAAAGCGCACGUAGGCGGUUCGUUAUGUCGGAUGUGAAAGCCCUUGGCUUAACCGAGGAAGUGCAUCCGAAACUGGCGAGCUAGAGUACGAAAGAGGAUCGCGGAAUUUCCGGUGUAGCGGUGAAAUGCGUAGAUAUCGGAAGGAACAUCAGUGGCGAAAGCGACUUCCUGGACCAAUACUGACGCUCAUGUGCGAAAGCGUGGGGAGCAAACAGG
rnacentral:rRNA from 1 species